AUGGUCCUUAGAGAUCACAAUGGGAGUAUUAUCUUCAGUUCAUGCCGCCACCUAUUCUCAUGUAAUGACGUGCUGGAAACUGAGAUUCUAGCUAUCAAGGAAGGGCUAAUGUUGGCCUCUCAAUGGAGUAGUCUGCCAAUAGAUGUGGAGUCGGAUUGUGUGGAAGCAGUAAAGAUGGUGCAGUGCGGUGGAACAAACAAAUCAAAGUAUGCCUUUUUAGUGAAGGAAAUCAAGGAUAAUCUAGAGGAACGUAGUGGAAAGUAUGAAGGAUCUCCACUCCGAGUAGGUCAGGGGUCCCCCUCCUCCUCCUCGUCUAUAUUAGGAAGAUCUCCACGCCGGAACCCUACCGCACUCUUCCAUCGAUCGAAACCUAGACUAGACGUGGAGCAGAGCAGAGCAGGGAUGGAAGCCUACAAGUUCGGCUUCGGCCUCGGCAUGCCGCCGGCGUUCAAGUUCGAUCCCACCGACGGCGACAUCGUCGCCUACUACCUCCUCCCGCGCGCGCUCGGCCUCCCCAACCCGCACGCGCACGCCAUCAUCGAAGAAGACCCCGGGAGCGCUCCGCCGUGGGAGCUCCUCCGGAGGCACGGCGGCGACGGCGGGAUCGAGCACGCCUUCUUCUUCGGCCCCCCCACGGACGGCGGCCGCAGGAGGCGCACCGUCAAGGGCGGCGGCGUGUGGCAGGGGCAGAAGUUGAACGAGGGCACCGUCACCAUGCUCGGCCCCGGCGGCGCCGAGUUGGACAUCGCUUACAAGCGGUACGACCUCACCUUCAAGCUCAAGGCCGGCCGCGGUAGCGUCAGCACGGGGUAUGUCAUGCACGAGUACGAGAUCACAUCGCCGCCGCUCCCCGGCAAGGUGCUCACCCGCGUCAACAUCAGCAGUAACGCCAAGAAGGAAAAGGCACCGGGCGCGGCCACCGCCGACGCCGACCAGCAGGUUAUGGUCCCGGACCCUGAGCUGCCGGGCACGAGCUACUACGACCACGAUGCCGCCGCGAUGGCGAGCAUCGGCGAGGGACUCGGUGACUCGCAAGCUGGUGCUCUGUAUGGCGGCAACGGCGGGGACACGGCAGAUGCCGACUCCUGCUAUACGCCUCUCAACUGUGUCCUCCCGGAUGGCGCCUACAUCGACUACGGCCUCUCGUACACCAACCAGCUUGCCGCGGCGACGACGAGUCACAGCCAGGGAUUCAUCGGCGCUCAAGCUGAUUCCUUCUACGGCUGCGGCAUGGCGGGGACGAACGGCGCCUACUACGACCCCUCACCGUUCGUCCCGGUUGCUAGCCAAGAGGUUGCCCCAUGGCCUAAUAAUCAGCUGGGCCAGAUCCACAGCCACAACCAAUACUACGCCGGAGAUUCCUCCCUGAUGUGCUCCGGCGGCGAGCAACAAGCCGGUGGCGCUCUGUGUGGCUACAACGAUGACGGGGGUGCCAUGAAAACCGUGAGCGCCCACUCGACUGUUUUGCCCUGCAAUGGCGGGGAGGAGAACCGGGACGAGAUCUACGACUACGAAGCCUCUCGGCGACAACGACGGCGACUUCAAUGA
rnacentral:rRNA from 1 species